rnacentral:rRNA from 1 species
AUGAACGCUGGCGGCGUGCCUAACCCAUGCCAGUCGAACGAAGCACCUUACCUGAUUCUUCGGAUGAAAGUUUGGUGACUGAGUGGCGGACGGGUGAGUAACGCGUGGGUAACCUGCCCUGUACAGGGGGAUAACAGCUGGAAACGGCUGCUAAUACCGCAUAAGCGCACGAGGAGACAUCUCCUUGUGUGAAAAACUCCGGUGGUACAGGAUGGGCCCGCGUCUGAUUAGCUGGUUGGCAGGGUAACGGCCUACCAAGGCAACGAUCAGUAGCCGGUCUGAGAGGAUGAACGGCCACAUUGGAACUGAGACACGGUCCAAACUCCUACGGGAGGCAGCAGUGGGGAAUAUUGCACAAUGGGGGAAACCCUGAUGCAGCAACGCCGCGUGAGUGAAGAAGUAUUUCGGUAUGUAAAGCUCUAUCAGCAGGGAAGAUAAUGACGGUACCUGACGAAGAAGCUCCGGCUAAAUACGUG